AGUGAACGCUGGCGGCAGGCCUAAUACAUGCAAGUCGAACGGCAGCACAGCAGAGCUUGCUCUGUGGGUGGCGAGUGGCGGACGGGUGAGGAAUACAUGGGAAUCUGCCCAGUCGUGGGGGAUAACGUAGGGAAACUUACGCUAAUACCGCAUGCGCCCUUCGGGGGAAAGCCGGGGACCUUCGGGCCUGGCGCGAUUGGAUGAGCCCAUGUCGGAUUAGCUAGUUGGCGGGGUAAUGGCCCACCAAGGCGACGAUCCGUAGCUGGUCUGAGAGGAUGAUCAGCCACACUGGAACUGAGACACGGUCCAGACUCCUACGGGAGGCAGCAGUAGGGAAUAUUGGACAAUGGGCGCAAGCCUGAUCCAGCCAUGCCGCGUGAGUGAAGAAGGCCCUCGGGUUGUAAAGCUCUUUUGUCCGGAAAGAAAAGCGCCGGGUUAAUACCCUAGUGUCCUGACGGUACCGGAAGAAUAAGCACCGGCUAACUUCGUG
rnacentral:rRNA from 1 species